UGUUCAGAAUGUACUAGGUUAAGCUCUCUGCACAAUUUUAUCGUGAAUCAGAUUUAAGUAAAAUUAGUUUAAACGUUGCUAAAGCUAAGUGGCCUCUAAGUGCAGUGUGUGAUAAUAUGAUUUGUGCGUGUGUUACUUUCUUUUCCGGUGUUGCAUCCACUCUGCGGUCUUGGUAUGCUGCAGAUGUCCUUUUGAACCGCCCGGGUCAACCAAUCCGCUACCAUGGCCUUUUUACCGUGAUCUUUUUCUGUGGAACCACUACCAUAAGAAUGAACCUGUUGCAUUAAGGAGAGGCUAUUGUAUCAGGCACUCCGUCGUCCUUUCACAUAACCAGCGCCAAAAAUCCUUAUGAGCAUCUUCCUCUCGAACAGUGACUUGAGACAGAGACCAUAUCGUAGUGGCGUAUGUGAGUCACUGCUACUAAAACGUGAGCCGAAACCGAGAAUUGAUAAAAAUCGUGAGCUGAAGUAUGUCGACUGUUGAUGUUGUCUUUCCAUCCUUGGCUGAAAUUGUUUAAAUUACACUAAUUUGCAUUCAAAAUGCACUAAAAUAAUGUGAGCUGAAGAAGGAAACACACAACACACAAAGCCAAAUUAGCAAUGACCAAAUUGACGAUCACAUAAAUCAAAUGCAGCACCCCGCCAUGAUAGACGGUUCAAUUCAACGUCGCUGACACACGCACAAGGCGAGAACGAGCGGGGUACGUAUGCACUUUGGCACAAGUGCAUUUCCAUAAUGUUGCAGCGCUGAGCAUACGAACCUUCAGUUGCCAGUUGUUCGGCUGCAUCGGUGACUUGGUGUGGUGAUUUGCAUACGGAUCCAUUCCCGGGCACGCGGUACCGCGGCAUGUUGAAGAACUCCGUCGAAUUGCGUCAUGUUGUAGCUGUGGCACAGAUCCUGCCUCUAGUGCCAAAGAGUGGUGCACCCAACAAUUAUUAAGUGAAACCUUGCGCGAAAAGACUCCGCUGCCGAGGACCGGGAGAUUCGAUCGAAUUCUCGGAUCCAUUUUACCGCUGGAUGAUUGAUGCUAUCGCUUGUGGAACCUGGAACAACAAACGCGAGCGCACGUGUGCCGCGAAACACAUCGGUGUACUUGUGGUGUAAAGUCUUUGAUCGUCGGCACCGAUUCCGAACGCCCGCCUGCAGCGUUACAAUGUUUUUUUCGGAUACGGUGAAUUAUUGUUGUGCCUGUUGCAUGAAGUAGCGCCGCGGUGUUGUUUAGCCAUGUCGUGCGCGAUUGAAGCGCGAUCGUGGCUGGGAUUUGUUUGUGAUCUUAAUCGAAAACCGUGAAACCGUGUGGAAUGAUUAAGACGGAUCGGAUGACGGAUAAGGGAGGUAAUUUUCUGUCAAAGCGGGUUUUGAUUCGUGCAAAUUGUGGUUGAUAAACUUGUUCAAUCAAUCGAGCGGUGAAAAGCGGACACGGGUUUCUUGUUUCUUACGCAGAAUUUACUUACCUAAAGGUCUGAAUCUGAUCGUUCAAAGACGCUCGCAGUUUAUCGGUAUUCUAUCGUCCGGUGAUCUUUACUAUUCGUCAAAUUAAUUCCUCGGUUCGGUAGCAAAGGCGACAGCCGUGCCGUUCUUCACACGUUAGGAGCGGUGUUUAGAUCCCAUCCAGAUCGCCUCCCCGUAUGCAGGACUGACUUUACUACCUUGCUGUCCGGAAAGUGUCUCUAUGCUAGGACCUUCUCAAUAUAAAACUUCCUUAGGUAUCUCCAAUGAAAUUCUCUCAGUAAAAUCUUGGCCUUGUCUCACCAAUCUUUGGAUAAAACUUUUUUCAAUCGGCCUAGUAGUCAGGCUCUCCACUGAUACUACUUAUAUCUUCGAUUGUCAAAUCCUUGCUUCCGAUACUUCUACUGAAUAUAAUCAAAUCCAAAUUUGGCAAAAGUAUCCUCAAAAUCUUA